GAUGAAGAACGUAGUGAAAUGCGAUACUUGGUGUGAAUUGCAGAAUCCCGUGAGCCAUAGAGUUUUUGAACGCAAGUUGCGCCUGAAGCCGUUAGGCCGAGGGCACGCCUGCCUGGGUGUCACACAUCGUUGCCCCAAUGCCAAUCGCCUCACUUUGUAGGUAUUUGCUUGGGGUGAAUGUUGGCCUCCCGUGAGCUUUGUCUCACGGUUGGUUGAAAAUCGAGUGCAUGGUGUCGGGUGUACCAUGAUGGAUGGUGGUUGAGUGAUGAUGCUCGAGACCAAUCAUGGGUAACUCCACCAGAAUUGGGCUCGGUGACCCACAUGCGUCCCUUGGAUGCUCCCUAAGGAGACCUCAGGUCAGGCGGGGCUACCCGCUGAGUUUAAGCAUAUCAAUAAGCGGAGGA
rnacentral:misc_RNA from 1 species